CCACAGAUGAUUUAGCUGUGCUGCAUAUGUUAAGCAACGCAAAAAAAGAAAAAAGUGUUAAGCAACGCGUACAGGUUGUUAUGAAGAUAAGCUGCCGGACGGCUGAAAAAGCUUCUCUUCCUCCUUACUGUACCACAACUUGUAUCAGCUAUCGGAAAUGCACAGCCUAAUUUUGAUAAUGAUUUUGGCUCUAGGGGACUGUGAAGCAGUGCACUGGCAGAAGCUGUCAUGCCCUUCUGAGGAAAAGCAUGAGAACCUGCAGAGGGUUUGGUGCCGUCAGAGCUCAGAGGAGUGCUGCACUGGCCUCACCUUUGGCCAGGACUCCCACUUGGUGGAUGGAGGGAAAUUGAAGGUGACCCAAGACCAGUACUCCUUUACCGUGGAGGUGCUGGAGCUGAGCCACAGUGAGGGAGUGUACUGGUGUGGCGUGCUGAGCAGAAAUUACACCAUCAUCAAGCUGGCUGAAGGAUAUUUUUACAGCUGUAAGUAGGAGAAAGUGUUGAGGCUACUAGUUGAUGAUAGAAGGGUUACGUGUGU
rnacentral:lncRNA from 1 species